AUUUCACAAUGCGGACAACAAUUGUGGCUAUAAAUUGCGUGAAAUUUUUAACAUGUUUUGAAACAGCGUCAACACGAGAAUGACUAUCUGUCUUUUGAUUAUUGCGGGAAUACUGUGUGCAAGCGGUAUAUCAGAAUGCCUUGAAUGCUUAAAUUGUCUAAAUAUCACUGAACCACGGACGUGUACAAACACGACUCAAUGUUCAAAUAGUGAG